rnacentral:piRNA from 1 species
UUUAUACGUUUGUUUCUUGAA